rnacentral:tRNA from 1 species
GGAGAGGUGCCUGAGUGGCCGAAAGGGGCGGUUUGCUAAACCGUUGUAGCCGUAAAAAGCUACCCAGGGUUCGAAUCCCUGCCUCUCCGCCA